rfam:Neotoma lepida isolate 417 scaffold_915, whole genome shotgun sequence.
GGGUGUCAGGGUGGCCUGGCUGUUGCAUCUGUCACCCUCUGACUCCUCUGGUCUAGUGGGUGGAGUCUCUGGCCACUUGCUUGCACUGCUCUGUGUUUGUCCCUUCUGAGCUGUGUGCUCAAAGAACAGGAGUUUCUAAAUAGCGGAGGCUUGCCCAUUGGUCCACGGAGUAGCAUAGCUGUGCUUCUGUGUGACAACUUCUAGAUCAAGUGCUCCUGGCCCAUUUGGAGGACAGCAUGGGUGGCAAGCUUGCAAUACUCCAGACACAUCUGAAUGAGGCACUGCGUUAUAGCCUACUUUUCAUC